UACAGAGGUCCCAAGCGUUGUUCGGAUUCACUGGGCGUAAAGGGUGCGUAGGUGGCUUGGUAAGUUUGAUGUGAAAUCUCCGGGCUUAACCCGGAAAUGGCAUUGAAUACUAUUGAGCUGGAGGUUUGGAGGGGGGACUGGAAUUCUCGGUGUAGCAGUGAAAUGCGUAGAUAUCGAGAGGAACACCAGUGGCGAAGGCGAGUCCCUGGACAACACCUGACACUGAGGCACGAAAGCGUGGGGAGCGAACAGG
rnacentral:rRNA from 1 species